AUGAACGCUGGCGGCGUGCCUAAUACAUGCAAGUCGUGCGAACAGACGAGGAGCUUGCUCCUCUGACGUUAGCGGCGGACGGGUGAGUAACACGUGGAUAACCUACCUAUAAGACUGGGAUAACUUCGGGAAACCGGAGCUAAUACCGGAUAAUAUAUUGAACCGCGUGGUUCAAUAGUGAAAGACGGUUUUGCUGUCACUUAUAGAUGGAUCCGCGCCGCAUUAGCUAGUUGGUAAGGUAACGGCGUACCAAGGCAACGAUGCGGAGCCGACCUGGGAGGAUGAGCGGACACACUAGAGCUGAGAAACGUGCCACACUACUACGAGAGGCAGCAUGAGGGGAUGCACCGCAAUGGUCAAAAACCGGACGGUGGCACGCCGCCUGAGUCAUGAAGGUAUUCGGCUCGAAAAACUCUGUUAUCAGGGAAGAAGAAAUGUGUAUGUAACUAUGCACGUCUUGACGGUACCUAAUCAGAAAGCCACGGCUAAAUCCGUG
rnacentral:rRNA from 1 species